AUGAACGCUGGCGGCGUGCUUAACACAUGCAAGUCGAACGAAGCAUUUACGACAGAUUUCUUCGGAUUGAAGUGUUUAUGACUGAGUGGCGGACGGGUGAGUAACGCGUGGGUAACCUGCCUUGUACUGGGGGAUAGCAGCUGGAAACGGCUGGUAAUACCGCAUAAGCGCACAAUGUUGCAUGACAUAGUGUGAAAAACUCCGGUGGUAUAAGAUGGACCCGCGUCUGAUUAGCUAGUUGGCAGGGUAACGGCCUACCAAGGCGACGAUCAGUAGCCGACCUGAGAGGGUGACCGGCCACAUUGGGACUGAGACACGGCCCAGACUCCUACGGGAGGCAGCAGUGGGGAAUAUUGCACAAUGGAGGAAACUCUGAUGCAGCGACGCCGCGUGAGUGAAGAAGUAUUUCGGUAUGUAAAGCUCUAUCAGCAGGGAAGAUAAUGACGGUACCUGACUAAGAAGCACCGGCUAAAUACGUG
rnacentral:rRNA from 1 species